GACGAACGCUGGCGGCGUGCUUAACACAUGCAAGUCGAGCGGUAAGGCCCUUUCGGGGUACGACGAGCGGCGAACGGGUGAGUAACACGUGGGUGACCUGCCUUUAGUCUCUGGGAUAAGCCUGGGAAACUGGGUCGUAAUACCGGAUAUGACCCUAUGGCGCAUGUUGUGGGGUGGAAAGCCUUGUGCGGCUAGGGAUGGGCCCGCGGCCUAUCAGCUUGUUGGUGGGGUGAUGGCCUACCAAGGCGACGACGGGUAGCCGGCCUGAGAGGGCGACCGG
rnacentral:rRNA from 1 species